rnacentral:rRNA from 1 species
GACGUAGGUGGCGAGCGUUGUCCGGAUUUAUUGGGCGUAAAGGGCGCGCAGGUGGUGCGGCAAGUCUGCCGUGAAAUCUCCCGGCUCAACUGGGAGGGGGCGGUGGAGACUGCUGGACUUGAGGCACCUAGAGGCCGGUGGAAUUCCCGGUGUAGUGGUGAAAUGCGUAGAGAUCGGGAGGAACACCAGUGGCGAAGGCGGCCGGCUGGGGGGAGCCUGACACUGAGGCGCGACAGCGUGGGGAGCGAACCGG